rnacentral:lncRNA from 1 species
ACAAAUGAAAUUUUAGAUAUUGCAGUAUUCAAUUCAGGAAUAAAGAUACAAUGAAGCUAAAAAAAUAAUAAUUUCAAAUCUUAAAUAUACACCUGAAUAAGAAAAAAUUAUUUGAAAAUAAAAUAUCAGGUAACCGGCAUCUAUGUCGCGACGGACUCGCCAACGGUCGAUCACUUCGGCUCCUGUCCUCACCAGCAAAGGUGUAAGUGUACUUCUUCAAAAUGGAGGAUCUAAUACCAUUAAUCAAUCGAAGGAAUUGUUCCACUACCAACAGUGGCUUCCUAGUUAAGUCUGAUGACUAUAUCUUCAGAAGAGGAACCUUUAGUAAGAUGCUGAAUAGUUGAAAAUGAAUUUCGAAGACUACUCGAGAGAAUGAACUAGGCCCUUCUGGUCUCUUGUUGAUUAAGAACAGACAAGGAUUAGAAGAUUCCUUGUAAUACAGCUUGGAUGAAAUGCCUACUGUGCUACAUCUUGAUGUGUUGGAUACAUAUCUACUGUAUUGUAAAGGAAUGUCGAACCCUUAAACACCAUGUAAUUUUGAAGUUGCCAUUUUCCUUAAUAGACUGAUGAUUGGCUUGGCUUUACAUUGUGGUCUUUUGAUCGUGAUCAGCAGUGAGGAGUUUUGAUUUACUCCGGCUUUGAACAGGCUUCAAAGCAUGCAAAAGUGUGGCUCUGAGGAAAUUGGAUGCUGGAAAUUCGAAACCUACGGAUGAGAGUUGGCACAUGGUCGGUGUCUCCAACCGUGCAAGGGCAGCGGCUCCUUGGCAUGGCUUAUUCCUGAGCUGCCCAAGCAAAUGAGAUUAAUUGAUGUAGGGAUGUUUUCCUUGCAUGGUCAAUUGUAAACUAAUAAAAAUUUCAACGUUGAA